GAUGAACGCUGGCGGCGUGCUUAACACAUGCAAGUCGAACGGUGAAGGCGGAGCUUGCUCUGCUGGAUCAGUGGCGAACGGGUGAGUAACACGUGAGCAAUCUGCCCCUGACUCUGGGAUAAGCGCUGGAAACGGCGGCUAAUACUGGAUACGAGCUGCGAAGGCAUCUUCAGCAGCUGGAAAGAAUUGCGGUCGGGGAUGGGCUCGCGGCCUAUCAGCUUGUUGGUGAGGUAAUGGCUCACCAAGGCGUCGACGGGUAGCCGGCCUGAGAGGGUGACCGGCCACACUGGGACUGAGACACGGCCCAGACUCCUACGGGAGGCAGCAGUGGGGAAUAUUGCACAAUGGGCGAAAGCCUGAUGCAGCAACGCCGCGUGAGGGACGACGGCCUUCGGGUUGUAAACCGCUUUUAGCAGGGAAGAAGCGAAAGUGACGGUACCUGGAGAAAAAGCGCCGGCUAACUACGUG
rnacentral:rRNA from 1 species